rnacentral:rRNA from 1 species
UUACUCUUGGAUAGCCUUCCGAAAGGGAGAUUAAUACAAGAUUGUAUCUGAAUUUCGCAUGUUACUCAGAUUAAAGAUUUAU